CUAAUGCAAAUUAGGAUUCCGAUUCAGUUCAGCCUGGCAUAAGGAUUCGGCCAAAUCCUGCUGAAAAAGGCCGACUCUUGAACUUAAUCCUGGAUUCAGUGCAUCCCUAAUAAUUUAUGUUACCUGUUAAGUAUUGAAUCCGAGGAAAAUACAUUUCAGCCAAAUAGUGAACUGAAUAUUGAAAUUUAGCAUAGAUAUAUCUACAAUCAUACAACUGUUGACAAAAUUUUUUUUUUUUUGUAGAUAACGAAUUCACAAAUGUGCUUAGUAUUGCUGAAUUUUGCUACUCUGCAUACCUAAAUGUAAGAAAAUAAAAAUGUUCUUUCGAAAUGACCUGAACUGAACACAUGGUUCCUUUGUGCUUUGCCAGCGGCCUAUACUGAACGUAUUGUUACAUUUAAAACAUCUGCAGUUGUUUGCACUUUGUGUUCCCAACCUAGAAAGCUGCAGACUUUUGCUUCUGAUCGCUCGCAUAUGAGAGACUCCACUAUUAACUGGACAAAGCCUCCUCCUUAUCCAUGUAUACAAAUUGCUGAAUCCUGUAUGAACUUGGACGAUUUUUGAACACUGACGUCGGAUGGGGCUCAGUAUAUUCCUUGGCAGGUUUUUACAGAACACUUUGAAUACAUCUAAGGUGGUGCAGUCUAUGAUGAUGAUGAAAGCAGCAGUGGCACCCAGACACGACCAUCGGCAACUUCGAGGCCACGACCCAGGAUUAAACCAAAGCCUGUGUAUAAAAAAAGACACUUGCUUUAUAUAAAUACGUUUUAUAAUAACAAAAUGAGGGUGGAACUAUGAGAAGGAGCAGCAAAACACAAAACUGAAACACGAUGAGAGAAAUAAUUCACAGAACCUUAGGAAUGAAGAUUAAACACCAGAGAGAAUCAGCAACAUGGACAGCACUCUGUGUUCCCUAAUCUUUCCACAAUUUGUUCACACUCAUCCCACGGCGUCCUCACCUCACCGGACCUUAAACCAUCAAAGAACAAUAGACAGGGUCACUGUUUCAGCAAAAUGUACGUUUCUUGAAAUAUAAAGAAGACAGAAAGGUAUAAUUACUGGAGGUGCCAAUCAUUUCUUACUAGGGAUGCACCGAAUCCAGGAUUCGGCUCGGGAUUCAGCCUUUUUCAGCAGGAUUCGGAUUCGGCCGAAUCCUUCUGUCCGGCCGAACCGAAUCUGAAUGCUAAUUUGC